rnacentral:lncRNA from 1 species
AUGCAUCUCCAUCUCGUCCUUCUGCGUCUGGUCCUUCUGCGUAUGUUCCUUCUGGGACUGGUUCUUCUGCUCUUGGUCCUUCGGGAACUGUUGUUUCUGCUUCUGCUGGUGCUUCUACUUCUAGUCCCUCUACGGCUGGGGUGUCUACACCGAAGUUCUCUGGUGAUCACAACGUAAGUUCAUGUCUUCGAAUUUUGGUUGUUUGAAUUUUCGUUCAUGUCUUCCUUAAUAACCCCAUUUCUUUCAUCUUAUUCAGCCCAAAGACUUCCAAACGCCAUUGCCUACUAUACACGAGGACAACGCAGACGAAAUCGAGGACG